UUUUUUAUAAAAAAUAAUUUAUUUAUUUAAUGUUUUAGUAUUUAGUAAAAAUUAAUUUUUAGAUUUAUAGUUUAAUAGUAUUGUAAAAGAAUUAAUUAAAUUUAAAAAAGAAUAUUUUUAGUACCUUUUGUAUCAGGGUUGAUUAAAAUUUUUAAUUUUUUUUUAAUUUCUCAAAAUUUAUAGAGUUAAUUUUAUUAUUAAUUUAUUGUGUUAUAAAUAUUUAUAAAAUAAUAUUAGUUUUGAAAUUUAAUUCGUUAUAUUAUAUUUAGUUAUUUAAGAUUUAAAUUUAAUUUAUAAUUUUAAAAGUUAUAUUGAUUUUAUAUAUAAAUAUUUUAAAUUUGAAUUAUUUUAGGGAUAAGCUUGAAAUUUUUAUAUAAUAAUUUAUUUAUUUUAAUAAUUUAUAGGAAUAGAAAUUUUUAUUUAAGUUUGUAAAAAUUUAUUAUUUAUUUAUUUUUAAUUUAUUAUAAAUUUAUUUAUUUUUUUUAUUAAAUUUUAUUAAUUAAUAUUUAAUUUUUAGUAAUAAUGAUUAAAUUAGUAUAAUUUAAAUUUAUAAAUUAUGAAUUCGGCAAAAAUUAUUUUCAUCUGUUUAACAAAAACAUUGUAUUAAGUUUUAUUUAAUAUAGGAUCUGCUCAAUGAUUUAUUAAAUAGCUGCAGUAUUUUGACUGUGCAAAGGUAGCAUAAUAAUUAGUCUUUUAAUUGAGGACUUGUAUGAAAGAUUUGAUGAGAAAUAGACUUUAUUAUUUAUAAAAUUAAAAUUUUAUUUUUAAGUAAAAAAGCUUAAAUUAUUUAAAGGGGACGAUAAGACCCUAUAAAACUUUAUAAAUAUUAAUUUUAAUUUUUUUGGAUUAAUAAAUAUUUUAUUUUUAUUAUUUAUUUUAUUGGGGUGAUAAAAAAAUUUAUUAAACUUUUUUCAAAAUUUUACAUUAUUUAAUGAAUAUUUGAAUUAAAAUUUUUAAUUAAAGGAAAAAGUUACUUUAGGGAUAACAGCGUAAUUAGUUUUUUAAGUUCAAAUUUAAAAAUUAGUUUGCGACCUCGAUUUCCUUUUAUAUGAUUCUUAGGUGCCCAAUUUUAAGUAUUAGGUCUGUUAACC
rnacentral:rRNA from 1 species